GUGUCCCAUCUGCUGUGAAAUUCUUGGCCCCCUUGGAAUUGGCAGGCUAGAAGGAGGGGGAUACAUAAGUGAGUACGAAUUGGCUUUUCUGGAUACAGCCUGGGAAGUGGGAUAUUUAACCCAUCUGUGUUUUCAUCCGCACCUGAUCAAGCCCACCAAGGCAGAACGGACUUUAAAAGUUAAGGGAGAAACAGUCUUGGAUCACGUGGUGUUCUGGUUUGGCCGUGCUGACCGGCCGGUGAAGACACGCCGAUCCCCCUUCUCCCUCUGGGAUCUGACAGGUAGGGCUCUUCUCACCCCAAUUAAGAAGGAGGCAGAAUGGCAAUUUAAGUGUCAUUGAGUGGAAAUAUCAGAAGUACAUAGGGUACUGAGAACUUCGUAGACAGAAAGAAAAGGAAAAGUAGAAGAAGAUCUGAGAAGUGGGCCCUCACAUGAUUGCAAGGAAAUAUGCCAGCAGACAUGACUUGAGAGACCAGCCAAUCCCAGACCCAGAUUUGGUCCUGUACACCAAGGGCACCAGCCUGGUGAAACAAGGACAACGACUGGUGGGAUGUGCAGUAGUCACGGAAGAAACCAUCGUUGAGGCCAGCUCUCUGCCAUCACACUGGUCCGCUCAACGGGCCCAACUAUAUGCUCUAAUCCGGGCCCUCCAGCUAUCAAAAGGACAGAAUCUCAGAACUGCACCGCCUGCUCCCAGGUCAAUGCUGCCUCCCAGCACAGACAGAAACCUCCGGGGAUUCAGCUAAAAGGCACGCUGCCCUCUGAACACCUGGAAGUGGACUUCACUGAAAUGAAACCUCACCGACAUUACUGUUACCUGCUGGUCAUGAGCCUUGAAAAUGAAGAUGAAGUUAAAAUGAGGCUCUAAGAGUGGGCCUUAAUCCAAUGUCACUGGUGACUGUGUGAGAAGAAGAAAUUUGGACAUACAAAGGGACACCAGAAGUAUCUGCUGCAAGAAAAGACCACAUGAAGACACCAUGAAAAGACAGGCAUCUGCAGCCAUUAGGAAAGGCUUCAGAAGAAACCAAACCAAUUGAUGGUUCAGUCGCUCAGUCGUGUCCGACUCUCUGCAACCCCAUGGACUGCAGCACGCCAGGGCUUCCCUGUCCAUCACCAACUCCCGGAGCUUGCUCAAACUCAUGUCCAUCGAGUUGGUGAUGCCAUCCAACCAUCUCAUCCUCAACCAAUUGACACCUUGACCUUAAACUUCCCACCGCUGCAACUGUGAGAAAGUAAAUUCUGUUUUUUAAGCCAUUAGUCUGUGGUAUUUGUUAUGGCAGUUCUAGCAAGCUAAUGUAGCCUCUUGUAGCAAGUACCGGGGACUUCCCUGGUGGUCCAGCAGCUAAGACUCUGCUCUCAAUGCAGGGGGACUGGGUUCAACCCCUGGUUGGGGAACUGGAUCCUGCAUGCUGCAACUAACGGUUCGUAUGCCACAACUAAGAGUUUGUAUUCCACAACUAAAGAUCCUGAAUGUUGCAAUGAAGAUCAAAGAUCCUAGGUGCUGCAACUAAGACCCAGUGCAGCCAAAUUAAAAAAAGAAAAGUACUGAUACUUUAAUGCCCAAAUAUGUUCAAGUCAGAGCAAAUGUAUGAAAUAGUUCUGCAGUAUGCUGACUAAAGUACAGUUGGCCCUUGAACAACACCGGGUUUAGGAGAACUGACCCUCUGUGUAGCUGAAAGUCCAAAUAUAAUUUAUAGUUGGUCCUUCAUAUCUGUGGUGCCACACCUCAGAUCUUGUAA
ensembl:lncRNA